rnacentral:SRP_RNA from 1 species
GCCGGGUGCGGUGGCGCGUGCCUGGAGUCCCAGCUACUCAGGAGGCUGAGACUGGAGGGUCUCUUGCGCCCAGGAGUUCUGGGCUGUAGUGCGCUAUGCCAAUCGGGUGUCCGCACUAAGUUUGGCAUCAAUAUGGUGACCUCCCGGGAGCAGGGGACCACCAGGUUGCCUAAGGAGGGGUGAACCGGCCCAGGUCGGAAACAGAGCCGGUCAAAACUCCCGUGCUGAUCAGUAGUGGGAUUGCGCCUGUGAAUAGCCACUGCACUCCAGCCGGGGCAACAUAGUGAGACCCCAUCUCU